rnacentral:rRNA from 1 species
GACGAACGCUGGCGGCGUGCCUAAUACAUGCAAGUAGAACGCUGAAGGAGGAGCUUGCUUCUCUGGAUGAGUUGCGAACGGGUGAGUAACGCGUAGGUAACCUGCCUGGUAGCGGGGGAGAACUAUUGGAAACGAUAGCUAAUACCGCAUAAGAGUAGAUGUCGCAUGACAUUUGCUUAAAAGGUGCAAUUGCAUCACUACCAGAUGGACCUGCGUUGUAUUAGCUAGUUGGUGAGGUAACGGCUCACCAAGGCAACGAUACAUAGCCGACCUGAGAGGGUGAUCGGCCACACUGGGACUGAGACACGGCCCAGACUCCUACGGGAGGCAGCAGUAGGGAAUCUUCGGCAAUGGACGGAAGUCUGACCGAGCAACGCCGCGUGAGUGAAGAAGGUUUUCGGAUCGUAAAGCUCUGUUGUAAGAGAAGAACGAGUGUGAGAGUGGAAAGUUCACACUGUGACGGUAUCUUACCAGAAAGGGACGGCUAACUACGUG